rnacentral:rRNA from 1 species
GACGUAGGGCGCGAGCGUUGUCCGGAUUUAUUGGGCGUAAAGAGCUCGUAGGCGGCUUGUCACGUCGGGUGUGAAAUCCCGCGGCUCAACCGCGGGUCUGCAGUCGAUACGGGCAGGCUAGAGUUCGGUAGGGGAGACUGGAAUUCCUGGUGUAGCGGUGAAAUGCGCAGAUAUCAGGAGGAACACCGAUGGCGAAGGCAGGUCUCUGGGCCGAUACUGACGCUGAGGAGCGAAAGCGUGGGGAGCGAACAGG